GCACCGCACAAACCCUACCCCCGAUCCAUAGGUGUUUCACCCUUUCUUCCCCUUUCCUCCCCUUCCCUUCAGCCGCCACACCUCCUCUCACGUGCUUGCCGCCGCCACGGCCUCGCUGCGCCCGCCACUAGAUCUGCGCCCUCGAGGGUGACGGCGAGCUGAAGACGAUGAGCAGCGGCGCGUGGGGUUCGUGCAGGUCCUCGGCUCGCCCGUACCUCACCAGUCCGCCGGGCAAGCAAGCCCGUGGGAGACGAGCGCACGGAGGUCAGCGGCAAGUGCUCCAGAGAGGAGAGAAGGCGGCACUCUAGGUGGCGGCGCUGGGCCAGCAAAAUCAGGUGGUGGCUGAGGUACACGAGAGCGAGGUGGUGCUGGAGCGCAUGGGGGCCGGCAGCAAGUCGCCGAAAGUGCACAACCACUCCGACGAGGUGGUGGUGGCCUGCUUGCCCAUGGUGAGCCAUUGUUCUUUGCUCCUCUCUUCUCAUGACAAGGUUUGACGGACACCGAAGCCGUCUGCUCCAUCCGCCAGCAUGCUCAUAAAGUGGGAGGGGAAGGAGGCCAACGACUAGGAGAAGGAGCAUGGAUCAUAAUCGAUGUUAUGGGUAAAACUGCUAACAAAUUGCUGCAUCAUCAUGGGUAAGGUGUCAAUACUACUAGGUAGGCAUAGUGAGUAUUCCACUUAUUAUGUUCACCUUGACACGCUUCAUGGAUUGUAUGAAUUACUUUAAAUAUGUAAACCUACUUUGCUGUAUGUUAGUUUUAGGAUGGCAACUUGCCUUUUUUUUCAUGCCUUGUUAACAGUUUUGGUUCUCACAGGGUUUGAGAUGUGUAGAUCCAGUUCGAAGGAUCAGUUGCAGGUGAGUAUGUAGUAUCCUUAUCUAUUUCAUAUGCUUGACUCCACUUUCAUUUUCCUAUGAUGUAUACAUCGGGCUCAGGGCUUUGGCCUGUUCCAUCCAAGGUGUAUCAUGCUUUAUCUGAAACUCAAGUCAUUUGAUGUUGUUGGGGCUUCUUUGAUCGACAUGAGAAAGAAGGCAUAUGUGAUUUUUUUUAGGCCAUCUGUCCAGGUAGUGACAUUCUAAUAUGCAAGGAAUGUGUUUAUUUGAUUUUUUUAUUCUGACAUACACUAAAGUAAUCAUGACCAUCAGUAAAAGGAACACAGUCAAAACAUGAUUAUAUUUUGUCUUGGUAUACCUCAUUUAGUUGUCAUUUGUAUAUUUCAAGGAAAUUAUUCAAUUUUUAGUUAUCUUUCCAUUGCUAUUUUCCCUUCUAUGCUUAUCGGAUGGGUAGACAAUCUUAUAAGGGGAUGCAAUGGAUUUUUGUAUUUUGGAUUCUCUGGACUGAAUGGGUUAUAUUUUUAACCCAUAAAAAUUACUUUGACUCCAAUAUGAUCAACUGUGACUCGGAAUAUUUUUCCCAAUAGUAUCGGACAACAUUGUAGGCACCCACCCUCCAAAGCAUACAUUUGCAUUAUCUUAUUUGAUUAUUGAACUAACUAUCAACGAUCAUGUAUAUAGACUUCCCGGAGAAAUAAACCAAGAUGGGUAUUAUCUCGUACACCACAAGGAACCUGCCCUCCUGCUCAGGUUCUGUAGCCAUGGCCCUCGAGUUAGCGGAGAAUGGUUAUGAUGAAGACUCUGAUUACGGUUCUUAGAUCCUAUGUGCCUGCUUUAUUAUUCUGCUGCUGUGAAACAGGCCUUGUCGCCACCUCACUUGUCAUCGUAGUCGUCCCUACCUCACUCCCCUCUGCCCUUGAGGCAAGGGUAUGUACCUUACUUAAUUCUUCACUGGAAAUUCUUUGAAUUGAUAUACAAGUAUUUCAAACACUUCAUCUAUUGGGGAGCUGCUAUAUUUUCCUCCUGUUGUCCGGCCAUCGCUUGAUCUUUGCGUUCCACUCGUUCCACUCCUCCUAUUGGUCAUAGUUUGCCUCUGCCUUGCUGUGUGCCAAAGACAGAUCCAGAAGAUAUGGUAACUACUGUUGAUGGAUUGAUUUUAUGUAUAACUCAUCUAUUCAUAAUUUUAUGUUAACUUAGUUGUUGUGUUUUUCUUUUCAAAUGCUUUUGUUUUAUGGGAGGCUGAGGGUUUUGGAAUUAUUUGUAUGGGUGAGUUCUUUUUCUGUAAGUGUAUUUUAUUUUAUAUGUUGCUGACUGUUUUUGUAAUUUAUUCUUGUUCUUUUAUGAAACCGAGAAGAAAGAAAAGAACAACGAGAAAUUGUUUAGCUAAAUAGGCAAAGCCGCUGAUGUUUACUUGCUGUUUGUUGUAGACCCUUGAUGGGUCAUGCUUUUGGCUACCUUUUGCGUUCCUUGACAUCAUCGAAGUUGAAACAAGAAGAAGAUGAUGAUGAAAUCUUGCCGAGAUCUGAGGAUGAAGAGAAGAUAUGGGUUAACUUUCAGAGUGAUUGAGUUGGUCAAAAAAUAUGAAGCACAUCAAAGGGGCUUGUUGCUUGGCUGCUAUGGAGAAGGGUAUUCUUUGAAGGAGUUGUAGACCUUUUGGAUAUAUGCUUCAAUUUGGACACUUUUUCAGUAUGUAUAUGAUAUGGGCAGGUUAAAGAGCCCCUGUUAUUUUUCUUGGCUUUUAUUUAGAAGGUGCCAUAUGAUGACCCAGUGCAUAGAAGCUCCCACACAAGGUGGGGUCUGGGGAGGGAUUAUAGGAACCUAGUCUUACCCCUGCAAAGUGCAAUGCAGAGAGGCUGGUUCGAACCCAGGACCUCUUGGCACAAGUGGGGAGGACUUCACCACUGCGCCAGGCCUGCCCUCAAACAUGAUAUCUACGUAUCUGAGAAUUUUUAUUUGUGGGAAAUGAAAAACUUAAUGUGGCUGGAGUUCUACGCGGAUUAAAUCUAAUUAUUCUUAUAUUUCAACUCCAAUGACUCGGCCUCACAUGUAGAAUGCGGUUUUGGGCAUGUGUUUCGGUUCAUUGGGUUUCGACGGAAUCAAAGGUCAGGAAAAAUAUAUAGGUGUUAGUUCAUUAUCUUUUCAGGUUUCUUAAUUAUUCAUACAUUUGCAUCUAUGUUACAGGUGCUAGCUUUCAUGGGUAGGAUUUUUUUAGCAUAUUCAAAUCUGUAUUAGAAUAAGGUUUCCCCCUUGGAUGUUCCUUAUGUAUCCAUAUAUUAGAUUUUUGUGUGGUUCAUUUGUUGCAAAUAUAUAAAUAAUAAUCUGAUUGACUAUAUGCAGAUUUGGUUUGAAAUCUUAAAGCAGUCUCUGACAAGUUGUAGGUGAAGAAGAUCAUGUCCUAGCAGUUAUAUGCACGUGGAGUACAUUUAUUGUAUGCAUUUUGUUUAGAAGUAUUCAGUUUCAUAGCAUAAUCAAGUGUUUUUCAAUACUCUCUCUCUCACACACACACAAUGUCUUUAAUUUCUGUUUUUUUAAUGUAUUGGCCUCUGAAUGAUCUGCAUGGUAUAUAUCUAUAUCGCUGAAUGACCUCGACUUGUACCUUUGUGGUUUGCAAACACUAAAACAUGUGUUGCUACAGAGUUAUCUUAGUUUUGACGUUGAUCGGUGCAGGUGGGUUCUCAUGGUAGGAUUUGAUCCACUCGGAUAUCAAUGGUACUGAUACUUAAGUUGGCUUUCUUUAAAAAAAUAAAGUAUGUUAUGUGUUAGUUUGGGCGCAAGCCUGUAUCAUGAAUACAUACUGCUCACAGUGCAUUUGCAUGAGAAGCCCUUCACAAGAAAAAACUAUACAUUCACAUUUUUUUUGCGGAAACUAUAUAUUUACUUAUUAUUCAGAGCUCACUGUAUGAAAUCCGAGUGGUGCUCAAGAUGUUAAUUAACUAGCUUUGUGAAUGGGGUGGUGAAAAAUACUGCUCACUUUAUUUGUUUGGUCGCAAGCCUAUAUCAUGUACACAUACUGCUCAAUUUAUUUGAACCUUCAGAAAAUAAAUCAAUUUGCUCAAGCCUUUCUGCUGUUGAUUCCAGUUCAUUGGAGUAACUUUAAUAUUUCUUCUCAUUGCAUCAAUUAACAUGAAUGCAAAAUAGAUUUGUUGUCUUAUGCUAUCCCGUAUCAGGGAUGAUGCCACUAAGUUGUUAUAAUUAUGCUUGUAGUCCUUGUCGGAGUUUGGGUACUGCACUUUAUAAUGCAAAGGAAUGGUAUAAACUAUAGCUGGUUCUUUCAUGUAGUAUGCCUUUUUCUAUAAUGUAAGUUAUGGAUGCGGUACUUCUUCGAAACCUUCAUAAUGCUUUUUGUCAUGCAACAACUUGCUAACAAGUCCUGGUCUGUUGCAGUUGAUUGCACAUGUGGAGUGCUUCUGGAUGCAUUUAUUGUCUCAUGUCACAAGGAUUUACAACUUUUACGAGAAUGCGGGUGUAGAGUAUUGAUAAUUCCAGAUGGUUCACUUCCUACAAUAGAGCACCCUACAGUACUAUCAAUUAUUCAGUCAGAGAACCACACUAUGCUGAAUAUAUUGGUGGAUCAGGUACAUCGAUAAGCACCCAAUGUUCAGUCAGAUGAAGAGAGUGAAAAUAUAUCGGUGGAUCAGGUACAUUGAUAAGCACCCAAUGUUCAGUCAGAUGAAGAGAGUGAAAACAGCGUUUACUCUGAAUUUUCAGACAGAGUGGCGAUGCAGCUGGAAGUUUGAGGCACUAGAUUCCCCCUGAUGGAGGAACAAUCAAGUUAAAUUUAGAUGCUUCAUUCUUUGCUGAGACUUGGAGGAGCUAUAUCGGGGCCAUCGCCGGGGAUCUUUUUUUGGUGUUUCUUCUAUUUAUCCAAGAGCAUUGACAAAUGUAGUUCCUUGGAAGAGGCUGAGGCUCAGGCGAUGCUAGAUGGAUUGACAGCUCUGACAUCUAUGUACAACAAUGUCUGUUUCCCAACUUCAUGCGACAUUAAGACCAGCUCUUCUUCUGUUCUUGUCCAAGUCCGGGCAGCAGAACCAGUAUACCAUCGCCCAUGCCCUUGGUGUGUGUGUGCCAGAACUAAAGAGAACAUACUCAAGAUUGCAGAUAUCCCAGCGGAGUUACAUGGGGCAGUUAAAUCUGAUUGUAAACAAGGUUCCCGAGUAGUUUCUACUCUGUAUCUAAAACAUGCAUCCGAUGGAAAAAACUUUUAAUAUUGUGAUGUAUUUCAGGAAGCGGAUUAGGAGCACUCGGGUGCUCUACCCCCCUGUGUAGCACCCGAGAGCUCCUAUGCAUUUUCGUGCAUUUCA